rnacentral:ncRNA from 1 species
AAUUGGGGUGCCGCAGGGCUGAGAUAAUACCCAUUGAACCUGAUCCGGAUGAUGCCGGCGUAGGGAAUUCUAAA